rnacentral:lncRNA from 1 species
AUAUUAUGUCGAUGUAGGACCUCCAUAUUACUGUUAGAACUCCCAUAUUGUAGACACUGUAGACACUCCAUAUUACUGUAGACACUCCAUAUUACUGUAGACACUCCAUAUUACUGUAGACACUCCAUAUUACUGUAGACACUUAACGUUCCAUAUUGGUGUUCCAUUCAUGUGUGGCCCAUAUGUCUUCAUUAAUGCACACUAACUCAUACUAAACAAUUAGAUUUUAUCGCUCCGGAUAAAAUAAGAAAAUGUGUGCUUUUAUUUAAUUUAUUUGAGGGAAUGAAAAUUGUUCCCAUUAACCCAUUAACAUUGUAUGACAGCUUUCUUAACAACAAAUGUUUAUUUUCUGAGAGUGAAAUGUACUAGUGAUUGUUGGAGAAGAAUUGCUUAACAUCUGAAACCCGUCUAUUCUAGCCAAAGACGACAGCCCAGCCUGCCACAACCCCAGCUUCAGAUCCGGCUGCUCAGACUGCAGUAAACGGCGCAGACGCUGAGAGAGCCAGGGAGUUAACACGGCUGUGGCAAGACAGUAACAUGGGGGGGACGAAUGUAACGAAUUAGGAAUUAGGGGUGAACAAUGAAUAACUGGCCAAGACAUGAUUUCACCAGAAAUAUACUUGUUACUUUGCCAUGCGGGACAUAGUCAUGUGUAAAGUGACACAACCAUAGCAUUUCAAGUCAUCCGUGUAUCCAUGGGUGGGCUUGAGGUAAUGAGGACUAUCUAGCUGGUAAAUGACCCAACUCACAUAACACGCCCAUAAUGGCAUUGCGCCAAGCAAACCACUGUUUUUCAAUAGAGAAUUAAGUCUCAAUUAUGUAAACGGCUAAGUGAGCUAACUGUUACCAACUCUACACCUGGCCCCCAGCCAGCUAAUUUACCACCACUUUCGACCCUGGCCCCUCAGCCAGCUAACUGUUACCCACUUCUACACCUGGCCCCUCAGCCAGCUAACUGUUACCCACUUCUACACCUGGCCCCUCAGCCAGCUAACUGUUACCCACUUCUACACCUGACCCCUCAGCCAGCUAACUUCUACAACAGACCCCUUAGUGAGCUAACUUCUACACCUGACCCCCUCAGCCAGCUAACUUCUACACCUGGCCCCUCAGCCAGCUAACUUCUACACCUGGCCCCUCAGCCAGCUAACUUCUACACCUGGCCCCUCAGCCAGCUAACUUCUACACCUGGCCCUCAGCCAGCUAACUUCUACACCUGGCCCCGUCAGCCAGCUAACUGUCAACCUGGCCCCUAAGCCAGCUAACUUCUACACCCUGACCCCUCAGCCAGCUAACUUCUACACUGACCCCUCAGCCAGCCAACUCUACACCUGACCCCCAUAGCCAGCUCUCUACACCUGACCCCUCAGCCAGCUAUCCUACACCUGAUCCCUCAGCCAGCUAUCUUCUCUACCUGACCCCUCAGCCAGCUAACUUUACACCUGACCCCUCAGCUAGCUAACUGUUCCAACUCUACACCUGGCCACUCAGUGCUUGACACCUGUGCAGACCAAGUGAAGGUAUCUAGUUGAAUAUACUGACUCACUGUGUUUCAACCACUGGGUUAUCUAUGGCAGGGGGAGAAGGUGUUCAUUAUUAACUGACUGGUAAUGUCGUCAGUCUAACCUGCUCUCUGCCAGGGGGAGAAGGUGCUAGU